CGUAGGGUGCGAGCGUUAAUCGGAAUUACUGGGCGUAAAGUGUGCGCAGGCGGCCGCGCAAGUCGAGUGUGAAAGCCCCGAGCUUAACUUGGGAACUGCGCUCGAAACUACGUGGCUGGAGUGUGGCAGAGGAAGGUGGAAUUCCAGGUGUAGCGGUGAAAUGCGUAGAGAUCUGGAGGAACACCGAUGGCGAAGGCAGCCUUCUGGGCCAACACUGACGCUCAUGCACGAAAGCGUGGGGAGCAGACAGGAUUAGAUACCCUGGUAGUCCACGCCCUAAACGAUGAUGACUAGUUGUUGGAGGAGUUAAAUCCUUUAGUAACGCAGCUAACGCGUGAAGUCAUCCGCCUGGGGAGUACGGUCGCAAGAUUA
rnacentral:rRNA from 1 species